rnacentral:rRNA from 1 species
CUAGUUGGUGGGGCAACGGCUCACCAAGGCGACGAUCUGUAGCGGGUCUUAGAGGAUGAUCCGCCACACUGGAACUGAGACACGGUCCAGACUCCUACGGGAGGCAGCAGUGGGGAAUUUUGGACAAUGGGCGCAAGCCUGAUCCAGCCAUGCCGCGUGAGUGAAGAAGGCCUUCGGGUUGUAAAGCUCUUUCGGCCGGGAAAAAAUCGCUUGGGUUAAUACCCUGAGUGGAUGAUGGUACCGGAAUAAGAAGCACCGGCUAACUACGUGCCAGCAGCCGCGGUAAUACGUAGGGUGCGAGCGUUAAUCGGAAUUACUGGGCGUAAAGCGUGCGCAGGCGGUUUUGUAAGACAGGCGUGAAAUCCCCGGGCUCAACCUGGGAACUGCGUUUGUGACUGCAAGGCUAGAGUAUGGCAGAGGGGGGUGGAAUUCCACGUGUAGCAGUGAAAUGCGUAGAGAUGUGGAGGAACACCAAUGGCGAAGGCAGCCCCCUGGGCCAAUACUGACGCUCAUGCACGAAAGCGUGGGGAGCAAACAGGAUUAGAUACCCUGGUAGUCCACGCCCUAAACGAUGUCAACUAGGUGUUGGGUGGGUAAAACCAUUUGGUACCGUAGCUAACGCGUGAAGUUGACCGCCUGGGGAGUACGGCCGCAAGGUUAAAACUCAAAGGAAUUGACGGGGACCCACACAAGCGGUGGAUGAUGUGGAUUAAUUCGAUGCAACGCGAAAAACCUUACCUACCCUUGACAUGCCAGGAACUUGCCAGAGAUGGCUUGGUGCCCGAAAGGGAGCCUGGACACAGGUGCUGCAUGGCUGUCGUCAGCUCGUGUCGUGAGAUAUUGGGUUAAGUCCCGCAACGAGCGCAACCCUUGUCGUUAAUUGCCAUCAUUUAGUUGGGCACUUUAACGAGACUGCCGGUGACAAACCGGAGAAAGGUGGGGAUGACGUCAAGUCCUCAUGGCCCUUAUGGGUAGGGCUUCACACGUCAUACAAUGGUCGGUACAAAGGGUUGCCAAGCCGCGAGGCGGAGCCAAUCCCAGAAAGCCGAUCGUAGUCCGGAUCGCAGGCUGCAACUCGCCUGCGUGAAGUCGGAAUCGCUAGUAAUCGUGGAUCAGCAUGUCACGGUGAAUACGUUCCCGGGUCUUGUACGCACCGCCCGUCACACCAUGGGAGCGGGUUCCGCCAGAAGUAGGUAGCCUAACCGCAAGGAGGGCGCUUACCACGGCGG